GUGGGGAAUAUUGGACAAUGGGGGGAACCCUGAUCCAGCCAUGCCGCGUGUGUGAAGAAGGCCUUUUGGUUGUAAAGCACUUUAAGUGGGGAGGAGGCUUACCUGGUUAAUACCUAGGAUAAGUGGACGUUACCCACAGAAUAAGCACCGGCUAACUCUGUGCCAGCAGCCGCGGUAAUACAGAGGGUGCGAGCGUUAAUCGGAUUUACUGGGCGUAAAGCGCGCGUAGGUGGCUAAUUAAGUCAAAUGUGAAAUCCCCGAGCUUAACUUGGGAAUUGCAUUCGAUAAUGGUUAGCUAGAGUAUGGGAGAGGAUGGUAGAAUUCCAGGUGUAGCGGUGAAAUGCGUAGAGAUCUGGAGGAAUACCGAUGGCGAAGGCAGCCAUCUGGCCUAAUACUGACACUGAGGUGCGAAAGCAUGGGGAGCAAACAGGAUUAGAUACCCCAGUAGUCC
rnacentral:rRNA from 1 species